ACUGACGGUACCGUAAGAAUAAGGACCGGCUAACUCCGUGCCAGCAGCCGCGGUAAUACGGAGGGUCCGAGCGUUAUCCGGAAUUAUUGGGUUUAAAGGGUCCGUAGGCGGGCCGAUAAGUCAGGGGUGAAAGUUUGCAGCUCAACUGUAAAAUUGCCUUUGAUACUGUCGGUCUUGAGUUAUAGUGAAGUUGCCGGAAUAUGUAGUGUAGCGGUGAAAUGCAUAGAUAUUACAUAGAACACCGAUUGCGAAGGCAGGUGACUAACUAUAUACUGACGCUGAUGGACGAAAGCGUGGGGAGCGAACAGGAUUAGAUACCCUGGUAGUCCACGCCGUAAACGAUGGAUACUAGCUGUCCGGGUCCUUGAGACCUGGGCGGCCAAGCGAAAGUGAUAAGUAUCCCACCUGGGGAGUACGUUCGCAAGAAUGAAACUCAAAGGAAUUGACGGGGGCCCGCACAAGCGGUGGAGCAUGUGGUUUAAUUCGAUGAUACGCGAGGAACCUUACCAGGGCUUAAAUGCAUUUUGACAGGGGUAGAGAUACCUUUUCCUUCGGGCAAUUUGCAAGGUGCUGCAUGGUUGUCGUCAGCUCGUGCCGUGAGGUGUCAGGUUAAGUCCUAUAACGAGCGCAACCCCUACCGUUAGUUGCCAGCGAGUCAUGUCGGGGACUCUAACGGGACUGCCGGUGCAAACCGUGAGGAAGGUGGGGACGACGUCAAAUCAUCACGGCCCUUACGUCCUGGGCCACACACGUGCUACAAUGGCCGGUACAGCGGGAAGCCAUGCGGCAACGCAGAGCGGAUCCACAAAACCGGUCACAGUUCGGAUCGGGGUCUGCAACUCGACCCCGUGAAGCUGGAAUCGCUAGUAAUCGGAUAUCAGCCAUGAUCCGGUGAAUACGUUCCCGGGCCUUGUACACACCGCCCGUCAAGCCAUGGAAGCCGGGAGUGCCUGAAGUCCGUCACCGCAAGGAGCGGCCUAGGGCAAGAUCGGUAACUAGGGCUAAGUCGUAACAAGGUAGCCGUACCGGAAGGUGCGGCUGGAACACCUCCUUU
rnacentral:rRNA from 1 species